rnacentral:rRNA from 1 species
CCGCGGUAAUUCCAGCUCCAAUAGCGUAUAUUAAAGUUGUUGCGGUAAAAAAGCUCGUAGUUGGAUUUCUGUUGAAGACGUCCGGUCCAUACCACGUAUGCGCAUCUGGCUCGGCUUCGGCAUCCUCUCGAAAGACGUUUCUGCGCUUGAUUGCGUGGAGCGGAUCUCGGGACUUUUACUUUGAGGAAAUUAGAGUGUUCACGGCAGGCUAUCGCCAGAAUACAUUAGCAUGGAAUAAUACUAUAGGAUCUCGGUUCUAUUUUGUUGGUUUCUAGAAUUGAGAUAAUGAUUAAUAGGGACAAUUGGGGGCAUUCGUAUCAACACGUUAGAGGUGAAAUUCUUGGAUCGUGUUGCGACGAACUACUGCGAAAGCAUUUGCCAAGGAUGUUUUCAUUGAUCAAGAACGAAAGUAAGGGGAUCGAAGACGAUUAGAUACCGUCGUAGUCUUUACCAUAAACUAUGCCAACUAGAGAUGGGACAUCGUUCACUUAAGACUUGUUCCGCACCUUAUGAGAUAUCAAAGUCUUUGGGUUCCGGGGGGAGUAUGGUCGCAAGUCUGAAACUUAAAGGAAUUGACGGAAGGGCACCACCAGGAGUGGAGCCUGCGGCUUAAUUUGACUCAACACGGGGAAACUCACCAGGUCCAGACAUAAUAAGGAUUGACAGAUUGAUAGCUCUUUCUUGAUUUUAUGGGUGGUGGUGCAUGGCCGUUCUUAGUUCGUGGAGUGAUUUGUCUGCUUAAUUGCGUUAACGAACGAGACCUUAACCUGCUAAAUAGGAGCGCCUAUCUCCGGAUAAGCGCCUUUCUUCUUAGAGGGACUUUAUGCGUUUCAGCAUGAGGAAGUUUGAGGCUAAAACAGGUCUGUGAUGCC